UCCCUGGCAGUCUAGUGGUUGAGACUCUGCAUUUCUAAUGCAGGGGACUCGGGUUCCACUCCUGGUUGGGGAA
rnacentral:tRNA from 1 species